AACGAACGCUGGCGGCAGGCUUAACACAUGCAAGUCGAACGCGUGCAGCAAUGCACGAGUGGCGCACGGGUGAGUAACGCGUGGAUAUCUGCCUUUUGGUUCGGAAUAACCCCGGGAAACUGGGGCUAAUACCGGAUGGUUCCUACGGGAUAAAGAUUUAUCGCCAAAAGAUGAGUCCGCGUCCGAUUAGCUAGUUGGUGAGGUAAUGGCUCACCAAGGCGACGAUCGGUAGCUGGUCUGAGAGGACGAUCAGCCACACUGGGACUGAGACACGGCCCAGACUCCUACGGGAGGCAGCAGUGGGGAAUAUUGGACAGUGGGGGCAACCCUGAUCCAGCCAUGCCGCGUGAGUGAUGAAGGCCUUCGGGUUGUAAAGCUCUUUUGGCGGGGACGAUGAUGACGGUACCCGCAGAAUAAGCCCCGGCUAACUUCGUG
rnacentral:rRNA from 1 species